CCCACGAUCGCACGUCCCACGCCUGGUCUCCCCAGCCCCUCGCUUCCGAUCACAUCUCUCGCCUGUAUGGUCUCGCCGCUCUGCCCUCUCGAUCCGCCGCCGUGAAGCCUGUAUGGUCACCAUCUAGCCUCCACCGUCUCCCUUCUCCUCUCUGAAGGCAGGCCCUCCUCGGUGUGAUGAGUAGUCCGCGGUGCUGCCGCCCCCUGCACGAGAGUGGCCGCGGCGUCGGCCACACCAGCACUCUCGUCGGGGCCGCACUUCCUGUACCGUACCUGGCUGGCCGGGAGGAGCUUGCUGCUCGCCAUGAUCUUCUCCACGUGUAGGCUACCCGGUCGAGCUCUCCCACCGGUCAAACGAGCCAAGCGCAAAAGUGACGAGAGAAUGCAUGCUCUGCAAUGACGUGCACUGCGUACCUUGCAGAGUUCUUGCUAGGAAUCUGAAGAUAGCGUGUUGUACACCUGCAGGUAAUUCGCUUUUAUUGGAUUGUGGGAGGAGAGGCCAAACCGUACUUGUGUAAUGGUGCAGCUUAAAUGUUUGAAGGAAGACUUACAUCGUACUUGGAGAAUAAUUACAUCCUACUUGGAGGUAGCAGGGACGUGUCAUAUGUUUUUGGGAUCCAGAUCAAGAUGGUUGUAUAUACAUCCAAAUUCAGAUCACACAGUGCCUUACAAGGUGGGAAUCAGCAGGGCAAGGGAAGAAUCCUGGGAGGUAAUUUUGAUUAUCCCACAAUGGGGUCCAUGAUAAAUGUUGGCUAAUUGUGUUUUGAAGAAUAUCAGUUUCAUGUUCUCUUGGUGUUUUUGGAUUUGCCUCAAUGUCAUCCAGAUUGAUUUCAUAUACCAAAAUCUUAAUCCAACUCUUUUCUAGACAUAAGUUUAUAUGCACAUGCUACAUAGUUUUGAUGUAUAUAUGUCUCUUCCUCUGAGUAGUAUGCUCCAAUUUUUGUUUCUUGAUGUAUAUUGCCACUUGAAUAACACUCAGUUUCUCUAAAUAAAUUUGUACUCUACAUACCUCUCUCUCUGCGGUGGAAAAUCUAUCAUACAGGGCAAUAAGAUGAAAUCAGUUUUUAAUUUGAGAUGUCCUUUAAAAAACCCACGGAGAAACCAAGCGAAUUGAUAGUCAGCCCGCAUCAAUAUGGCGAAUCAACCGGAGUUGCCUUCUUGGGACGAUGCAUUUGCAUUGAAGCAGUGUCGUUGGUCUGAUCGCGGCGGUCAGCACCACCCUCCCAUCCGGUCACAUUGCGCGACAUCAAUACAGGUCUGCAGCUCUGGGCCGGCAUGAAUGUGGUGCGGGAAGCUGCGCGUAUGUUGGAGAGAUAGAGUAUGUACGUUUAUUUGUAUUUUUCUUACUUAAUAGGUGGAUUUUCUCCAGUGAUUCUGCGGCCGUCGAGGAGGUGAGGUUUUUCCAUCAAAUGAUUUUACAGUCUGUUUGGUGUGACCACUGCUACUAGGUGCAGAGUAUGGAGUAGGACAAGCAUCAGUCAUGUAAAUUGUUAAUCAAUCUGGUUUUGCAAGUCGUUGAGUCGUAGUAGCUAUGUAGGAUUCCUAAUGGAUACUACCAUGAAUCAUGUUCUGUCGUUAAGGAGAACCUUUUCUAAAUGUAUUCCAGCUGAGCCUCUUCUAUUUUUUUCCUUUUG